GCAGGCGCACACUCCCUCCCCGCCCUUGCAGUGUCCUUUAGUCCUUCGUGAAUAAAUCGAAAUUAAAUGAAGCAAAUGCUUUUUUGAAGGCAAAUUUGGUGCCAAGGACCAUCCUAAGUGAUUCAGAUGGCCUCACAAGGCAGAAGCAACUCAAGUGUUCAACAAAUAAAUGGAUAAGCAAAAUGUGGUAUGACCAUGCCAUGGAAUAUUAUUCUGGCAGAAACAAGAAUGAAGUACUGAUACAUGCUACAACAUGAAUGAACCUUGACAACAUGCUGAGUGAAAUAAGCCAGACACGAAAAGACAAACACAGUGUGAUUGUAUUUAUGUGAAAUAUCUAGAGUAGGCAAAUUCAUAGAGACAGAAAGUAGACUUGAGAUUACCACAGGUUUGGGGGACAGGGAAUCUGAGUUAUUGUUUAAUGGAUAUAGAGUUUCAGAUUGGAGUCAUUAAAAAGAUUUGGAAAUAGUGUUUAUGGUUGCAUAGUACUGUGAAUGUACUUAAUGCCGCUGAAUUGUAUGUUUUAAAAUGGUUACACUGGCACAUUUUAUGUAGUAUACAUUUUACCACAAUAAAAAAA
rnacentral:lncRNA from 1 species